rnacentral:rRNA from 1 species
UACGUAGGGUGCAAGCGUUGUCCGGAAUUAUUGGGCGUAAAGAGCGCGUAGGCGGUUUGUCGCGUCGGCUGUGAAAACCCGGGGCUCAACCCCGGGCCUGCAGUCGAUACGGGCAGACUAGAGUGCGGUAGGGGAGACUGGAAUUCCUGGCGUAGCGGUGAAAUGCGCAGAUAUCAGGAGGAACACCGGUGGCGAAGGCGGGUCUCUGGGCCGUAACUGACGCUGAGGAGCGAAAGCGUGGGGAGCGAACAGG